GCCCCCGUAGCUCAAUGGAUUAGAGCAACUGUCUUCCGAAUAGUGGGUUGCGGGUUCGAGUCCCGUCGGGGGUU
rnacentral:tRNA from 1 species